rnacentral:lncRNA from 1 species
CACAAAGACCGGGCUGCUCCCCCCACCCCAGUUUUGAGAACAUUAGUGAUCCUCCCCAAGCCUUUGAAGCUUUCCCGUUCAGGGAGAUCUUUUCAAUAUGUUUCUCCCCAAUAAUGAUUUCUUUAAGCCAUUUUAAUCAGGUUUUCGAUCAGAAAAGGUCAUCCCUUGCUGGCAUAUGAUCUUGGCCAGGCAGUGUGUUUUUUGCUUUUCUGUUUCUUGGGAACAUCGUCUCUUUCUUAUUUUAUUUUAUUUUAAUGUCAAGUGCUUUAUAUUAUAAUUGAUGAGGAAUGGGUUUUUAUUUUAUUUGCCAUUCUUCUAUUAGAUAGAGAGGGAGGAGAGUGUUCAAGAUGGCGAUGUCAGCUACAUAUUGAUAGGAUCUUUAGAAGAGGGUAGGCAACCUUUUUUAGCCCAAGCACCACAUUCCCUUCUGUACAACCUUCUGAGGGCAACAUGUUGUUAAUGGGAGGUGCCAAAGUGUACAAAGGUACCAUUUUUACCUUUCUAUAGUAGGAUAGUUUCUGCACAUACUCACACACCCUCCUCUAGCAUCUAUCCAGACAAGCAAGAGACGUGACCAGAACUCAAAGAUGCAUUCCAGGUAGGCAAAGAGUCUGAGAGUGGUGGAGAAACCAAUAGGACCCUCUCUUCUGAUGUUAAAACGCAAGGUGGCCUGUAAAGGAGGUGGAAGAUAGAUGGAUAGAUUGAUAGAAUCAUAGAGUUGGAAGGGACCCUGAGGAUCAUCUAGUCCAGGUGUCCUCAACCCUGGCCCUCCAGAUGUUUUGAGACUACAAUUCCCAUCAUCCCUAACAACUGGUCCUGCUAACUAAGGAUCAUGGGAGUUGUAGGCCAAAAAUAUCUGGAGGGCCAAGGUUGAGGAAGCCUGAUCUAGUCCAACUCCCUGCAAUGCAGGAAUAUGCAGCUGCCUCUUAUGGAGAUCAAACCUGCAACCUUAGCAUUAUCAGCACCAUGCUCUAACCAACUCAGGUAUUUGAGUGUGGGUCUAUGGAAUAAAGUACAUUUCCUGACAUACAUUCAGCUUUAUGCAGAGGGAAUUCAGUUGCAACCAAGAGUGGUUUGUUGCAUGACCAGUUAUUUUAUUUUUUAUUGUAUUGCAUUGCAUCUUAUUUUUUUGGGGGGGGGGGGGAGUUGGGGUUAUGUUGCAACUCAGUUGCCUUCCCCUUGUGGCAGACUUAGCUGUAGUCUCCCAGAGAGAUGCAUUCCAAUGUGCGUAGCAAUGCAACUCUGAAGUAGACCUGAUCCCCUGCUAUCCUGCCCUUCCCUUUUAUAAUUAAAAUGACUCAGAUGAGGUCUUUAUUGGCAAGUCACUGGCAUUGUUUGAACAUUAAUGGAAUAAUAACUCCCUCAGCACAUAUUUAUUUCCUGUUAUUAAAAUGUAUGCAUUUGUUUCUGUAAGCGGGAGCAGCUCUGUAAACUGCAGUUGGCUCAAAAAAGGGGCCUGGCAUCACCAUCAACUCUCUAAUUACCCACCUCUGUAAGUGAUGAAGCUUAUGGCCUCCCCAGUGACCUUAAUGCUCCCUCUCUCUGUCUCUCUGGUAAUUUAAGAUUGACUCGCCACAUUGAGGUUGUGGUUUUUGUGCAUCCUGAACAACAGAGGAGAACGUACACCUUUUUAUAAAAAGUCCCCAUCUUGUCAGGGAAGGAAGGGGAAGAUUUUGCAAUUGCUCUGGCUUUCAAUGUUUUAUUUAGUCUGUUGCCUCUCCUAAUGGAUCUUGGUUCAUUUAUCUGACUAGCUAACAAAUUACCAAAAAAACAAUGGAUAUAGGGCUAUAUAGUGUUGUGGCUCCUUGGAAUUCUUUGGAAUAGAAUAAAACUCACUUGGAGCCACAUGGCUGUCCCCUUUUGUUUUUGAGGCCAACCCCUGAUCAAAGAUUGACUACUGCAGUGCAUUGUGUAUGGGGCUUCCUUUGGAGACUGCUCAGAAACUGGAAAGUGAGUUCUAAAAACACAGCUGCAAGGAAAUUCAGGUAGCUGGCUGUGACACCCCCCUGCCCUGUCCACCCCAUUCAGGCCAAGUAAGUGGCAGCUGUGCCUGUCAGGAGGGCAGCUCUGCAAUACCCGCACACUGACCACUCAUGGCUACUGAAGAGAUAACACUGGCUUGCCACUUUACUGAGAACUAGGCCAUGCUUACUGAAGAACAAUUUCAUUAACUUUUGUCCCCUUUCUUCUGUGCUGCCAGGAAUCUGGACUUGAGCUCUUGAACUGCCACAUUAAGUCAUUGACAUACAGUUAAGGCAGUACACCUGGAUAUGAGAGAGAACAGGGGUGUAGAGCUGUGCUUGAAUGGCUUCCUUGACCAAACAAAAAACAACCAGCCCUCCGUUCUCCCCAGUUUACUAGUUCUAAUUAGUGACAUCAAUAAGCAAUCAACAGCCUGUUCUGUCUCUAGGGAUUUCUGUGUUGCAAUGGGAGAAACAAUAAUUUUGAAAUCUGUAUUAAGGAAACAAAUGAAUUUAAAAACAAAUAUUCUUGAUUAACAGAGUGCACCCUUUCAUAGAUGUAUGACAAUGUAUGUCAGGAAGCCUCUUCAAGUGCCUGCACAUGCAUUGCCUAAGCAUGCAUGCUGUCCAAAGCCAUCACCAAGUCUCAUUAGCUGCAAACUCCCGCAGAUUCUCUUCGCCAUAGAACCCUUAUUUGCAGUGUCCUUAUACCUUAACUUGCAAGCCCCUUGAUUUUGAGACACAAAGAACCAAGUUGGGUUGUUUUAUUUCUGUCUUUAAGCAAAAAAACACUUUCUCGUAAAAGCAUUAAGCCUGGAUUAUUUCUUAAAUUCAUGCAGAUGAGGACAUGUUCUUCUCCUUGUUGACAAGCAAUGUCCCAACCUCCUGCUCCCCCCCCAUUCCCCACAGUAUGUGUGAACUUCUCUGCCUAACUGACUGUUUCAACCAAAGCUGUGUAAUUGCCAAACUAUCAUGCACACAAACGGCAGGGGAGCAGAGAAGUUCAGUCAGGACGCCCCGUUGUUUGUGUCUGCUGCGAAACAUUCCAUGUAAAAAUAAUGACUUUGGCUUUUGGGCUUGCUUCUUCCCCAAACUCACUCUUUUUCUUAUUUUUUAGGACAAAAAAAAGCUCCCACCAGUUGCUUGAUGUACUUUACACUUCAGUACUGUGUGAAAAUUCAGCAUAGCCAUUGACACUAAGGCCACAUUCACAUUGACUGUUUAAAAAAAUGAUGAUACUACUUUAAACAGUCGUGACCUCCCCCAAAGAAUUAUGGGAGCUGUUUUUUGUUAAGGGUGCUGAAAGUUGUUUGGAGGCCCCUAGUCCCCCUCACAGGGCUACAAUUCUCAGAGUGGUUUAAUAACCAAUCUCUUAUUACUGGGAACUCUCAAAAUUGUAGCUCUGCAAGGGGAAUAGAGAUCUCCUAAUAACUCCCAGCACCCUUAACAAACUAUAGUUCCCAGGAUUCUUUGGAGGAAGCCAUGACUGUUUAAAGCAGUAUGGUACUGCAUUAAGUGUAUGGUGCAGACAGGGCCUAAGAAACAUUCUCAGUAAGCAACGUAUAUCACACCAAUAAAUCAACUAAGAUCCAAACCAAGAUAAAAAUUAAUGAAAAUGGAUAUUGCAUGUAAAUGGUGGACAGAAACAUGAAACUUGACAAUCCUAUAUAUUUUCAAAGGAAUAUAGCCUUCCUCUGAAGAGGAACUGAUUGUUAAAGCACCCUGAGAACUGUAGUUCUAUGAGGGAAAUGGGGGUCUUCUAACUACUCUCACCUUCUUUAACAAAUUAUAUUUCUUGGUGGGGAACCAAGACUGUAUAAAGCUGCACCAUAGUGUUUUAAAUGUAUGGUGUGAAUGUGGCCAUUGUUUGGUCAAAAGCUGGGGAGAUUCAUUUUUCUUCCCGCGGGAGAGAGAGAAACAAAUUCUAAUGGAACACAUUUAGACUUCCCUAUUCAUUCCAUUUUAAUGGAUCUUUUAAUUAGGCAAUCACACUAGCAGAAAUAUGGCCGUGGAUUAAGCUGAGACCUUAAGCAUUCAAGAUCCCAAUUUGCAUUAUUUUAUUACAGCUGGAAUGUAUUGACUAAACACUUAAAUGGAAGGGGGCAGGUGAGGACCAGUUGUGAGGCCAGUUCAUAUAGUAGGGCUUGGAACUGAGUUUGGAUCAGUGGUGGCUGGUUACCAAUGGAACUGGUAGGGUGGAGGCCAACAGCAGGUGGAGCCAGAGCCAGUGACAAGGACAAUUACCAACUAGCUGUAAACAAGAAAGCAGGCAGAUGGGUUAUGACUAUGAGUACACUGAGGUUGGUGGGAUAGUGUUCCAUUUGCCCUAACAGAGUGGCCUUUAUGGGUUUAGACUAUUAUCCCCAAACCUGGUGAUUACCUCAUGUUAUACUAAUUCAGCUCCAUUUCAUCCCCAACAAUGUCACUUGGAUCAUUACACAGUCUGGUUCAUGCUCCAUGAUGAGUCCAACCUGUAGUCUCAAGUCCCUACCAAAUGUUGGCUAAAGCAACACUUUAGGCUUCCCCUGUAAGCAUUUUGAUGGCAGUGAAAAUAAGUAGAAAUAAAUCAAAUCAAUAAAUAAUAAUAAAUCUGAAUAAAUCCAAGUUCCUUCAAAGCUGCUACUGAAAAGAGAGGUGGAAUAUGGUGGUCCUGCUCAGCUGAACUCAGCUGGGAUUUUAAGGACAACUAAGAAAUGUUCACUAAGAUUAGUAACUUUUCUGGGGGAAGAACGUUCAUACAUCUCUUAGGAACUGUGAGCACUAAAACUUAUAUGCAGCCCAGUUUAACAAAAGUUGCAUUGCUAAGCUGUAUUGCUUGGGUUUGUGUGGGUCCCCCCCCUUUUCAAGAUCCCAGUUCAAGUGAAUGAUGCCUUCUUGUCUACAAAGCUCUCAAGGACCCCCUGUGUACACUCAGGGACACCAUUGUAAAAAAAAGAAGAAGCUCAUUCCUUUAGAGAGAGGAUUACUUAAAAAUAAAUAAAAAAGAUUUACUUCAACUUAAUCGGGACAGGUUCCCUUCAUCUUAGGGGAGGUCUGCUUCUCUUGAGAGCCUUACACCACCACAUACCAGGAGAGCUUCGUUUGGCUGAAGCCAAAUCUCAUUAAGGGAAAGCUGCUGCCCAUCUUUUAAUUAGCCAAGGGCCUUGAUCUUAGUGUUCACCGUCUCAGCAAUACUGAAGCAAUACUAAGGGACAGUGAAAUGCACCAAAAAGGUACUGGAGAUCUGAAAGUUUCAUUUAAAAAAAAAGUACUGUGUUUUAUUCACUAAAUCUUACAUACAUCCCCGCCUCCACCUACAUUUGAUGUUGCCCAGUCCUCAUGGCUAUGAUACACCUUUUCCAUUAAUGGUUGAGUGUGACAAAAGAAAUCAUCAUCAUUAAAUUAAUCACCCAGCCUUCAAGCAAGUCCCAGGGUGAGUUAGAGCAACUUUAAAUGAAAAGUGAAAAACUUUUACAACAUAUUGCAAUCACAGGUGGGUCCAGAAAACCUGAAAAUGCACAUCUCGGGUGUCAAAGUCCAGGGCUGCUUUCACAUGGCAGCUUAUUCCAUUUCUAGAACAUUUCCCUAUUUGUUUCUGCAUUAUACCUGUUAUUCUGCAUUUCAUGAAAGCCACUUCUGGGACUAUAGUGGAAUAGUCUUCCUUUGGUAAGAGGUGUGUGAUAAAGAUUUAAUAAAAAAUAAAUAAGCUUAGUAAAUAAAUAGCCCUACAAACCUCAUGGUUCAUAAUAUUAUGUGGCUGAGUGAGGCAAAAUUAAUAAUUAACCUAAGUAUACUACAGAACAGCGCAUCAACCACAUUGGUGCCAGUGUGGCAUAGUUGUUAGAGUGCCAGACUAGAACCGAGAGACCAGGUUUCAAAUCCCCAUUUGACCAUGAAACUCACCCAGUGACCUUGGGCCAGUCACCGCCUCUCAGACUGACCUACGUCACAACAUUGUUGUGGGGAUUAAAUGAGGGGGAGGAGAAGCACGUGUGCCACCAUGAGCUCCUUGUAGAGAUGGAAAUGCAAUCUAUCAAUAAUAAUAAAUUAUUUCUUUAUAGAAAGUGGGUGGCUCACUGCACCCUGACCCGGCAAAGCACCGUGCUUCUUUAAUACUCUCCAGCAGCUCAGCAACCUUGCCAUGUUCAUCUCAAGCAGAG